AAGUCGUAACAAGGUUUCCGUAGGUGAACCUGCGGAAGGAUCAUUAGAAUGAGAGCCGGACCAUGUCGUGGGCGAAAGCCCAAACGUGCCAGUAAGCGCCCGUAAACCUCCACCCUUGUGUAUUAUUCUUUGUUGCUUUGGUGGGCCGCAAGCCUUCGGGCGAGCACCGGCUUCGGCUGGAGAGUGCCUGCCAGAGGACUCAACUCUGUAAUUUAGUGAUGUCUGAGUACUAUUAAAUAGUUAAAA
rnacentral:misc_RNA from 1 species